GCAGCCUUUGAUCAGCAAGGCACCUGACAGAACCAGAGAAUGGGAAGGACGAAAGUUGAUUUGUCAAGAGACAAUUGCCUUCUCUAAAGGGAGCCAAUCCAACAUCAGAAUGUCAUACAAUUGGAAUCAUUGGAGCCUGGCUUCUUUCAUUCAGCACAGUUUAUUGGAGAUUCAUCUAUGUCAGUGUAUCAAUAAUUUGCUCCUUUUAAUAGGCACACUGCUACAUGCAGCACAUCAUUUGGAUAUGUCUGGAGUCUUGGAAGCUUGACUAUUCUACAUUCUCCUACAAAUGGACCUUACAAGCUUAUUUGGAGAUUCUAGCAGAGGAGUGUAGCUACUCCCAUACCCUAGACUGAUGAAUGGUUCUCCUUUAUUGGGGAAGGUCGUCUUCUUCAACCAAGUCCACAACUUUGGGAGAGAUACACAUGGAACCAUGGGGGAGGAGGGAACUUCCACCUAGCCAGCCAUUAUCAACUGAAUUGACCCUGGCAAUCCAUGGGGUGACAGAUGUCUCAGCCAGAUCGCCUUCAUAUCUAUGACUUUUUUUCUUUUAUCAACCAGAUGGUCAAAAGUUGCAAGAUAUCAUAAUAUAUCUUUGUUGUUAAGAAUAUGCAUAGAUGGAUUCUUUCAAACUUUUUAAGUUGGUAUUUUUGAAGGAUAAUUUGAGAGUAUCUGUGAAAAAUCUUAAAUUGCAUAUCUUUUGACCUAGUAAUUUCUAUUCUUUUUUUAAGAUUUUAUUUAUUCAUGAGAGACACACAGAGAGAGAGAAAGAGAAAGAGAGAGGCAGAGACACAGGCAGAGGGAGAAGCAGGCUCCAUGCAGGGAGCCCAACGUGGGACUCGAUCUUGGGGCUCUAGGGUCAGGCCCUGGGCUGAAGGUGGCACUAAACCUCUGAGCUACCCGGGCUGCCCAGUAAUUUCAAUUCUUAAAGACCAUCUUUCACAAGUGAACAAAGAUGUAUGUAUAAAGGUAUUCAUUGAAGCAUUUUUUAAAAUAGUAAAACAAGGGAUCCCUGGAUGGCUUACUGGUUUAGCGCCUGCCUUUGGUCCAGGGUGCAAUCCUGGAGUCUCGGGAUCGAGGCCCACGUUGGGCUCC